UUUAGUUUUCGUUUUAGUUUUCGAUUUUCGUUUUUGUUUUCGUCUCUCACAACACUCGCUCAGUCCAUCCUUUGCCCUUUCGUCCAAAUCGAAAACCCUAAAAUCUGUCCACCAGAACGGCCCUAAGCCCCUCGAAACUCUAGAUUUUUUCUUCCGACUUUUUCGUGCACAAAUAGUAUUUUCAUGUUUAUUCUUUUUGGUACUGUGAGAUUUUCUCGGGAAAUCUUUAUCCACCCAAGAAAGCGCAUGAGAAAUUCGAUUCUGUUUAGGAAAACCUAGGUGGAGAUUUUGUUUUUGGGAAGAAUAUUUUCAAUGGAUCCCAUGCCCGUGAUAUUGGACAUAAGCUCAGACGAGGAGACGGGUUUGAGCGAGCCCCAGGGCGGUGGCGGCGGCGGCGGCGGCGGCGACGACUUCGAUUGGAUAUCGAAGCUCUUGGACGGCGCUGAUGAUAAAGAGCCUGGCGAUGAUUCCGAUGAUGUUGUGGUGCUGGGGGAGUCCAUCAACACCAACCGAAAGUCAAAGUCUUCCAAAUCGACGAUGGGGGAUACGGACGAUGAUUGUGUGAUUUUGGAGGGUGACCCGGACAAUCCGGUAGUUGUGGUGGACGAUGCGGUGGGAGGGUCCGAUGAAUUGAAUAUAGUUGGGGAGAAGGGGCAGAUUGCAUGCAGAGACUACCCUCAUCCACGUCAUCAUUGUGCCAAAUAUCCUUUUAGUUCUACACCCCAUGAAAGGCACUGUGAACAGUGCCAUUGUUACAUCUGUGAAUCUCUUGCGCCAUGUCUACAUUGGGUCACAGGCAUCUCUAAUGUUGAUCAUUGUCAUGCAACUGAUAAAGAGGAGAUCUGGAAGAUAAAGAGAAAAAGCUUCAAGCUGGGGGAAAGUGCUCCAUUACCUGGUAUCAAGUCUUCUGAUGCUUUGCUGCCUGCAGCGCUUACCCAACUACUCGACAAUAUUCCAUUGGCACCCAACCCCAAGCCUCAAAAUCAAGUCUCUCGGCCAAAUAUAAUCCGUGCUUGCUCCACUGUCACCAGUUAUGCUGUGCCAAAUAUCAUAGGGCAAGGUAGAAGUCAACAACCAGCAUCUGUUUUGGUGAAAACUCGAACUCACCCGCGCUUGGUAUCACAAAAUUUGCUUGGUGUACGUAAUGGUGUCAUCCAAAGGGACCGAGCUAUGACUGUUGGUAAUGCGGGCCCAGGAUCUGUCCCUUCCCAUACAAUGUUUAAAAAGACAGGAGCUGUGAGGGGUGCCUUGCCAAUGCAUCAUUCUGUUUAUAGUUCAUCAGACAACGUUAAUCGUGUCCAUGCAGCACUCCAUACCAUAAAUGCUACACCAACGGCAGUGGCAAAUGACAGAAACAUUGUUAGGUGGCCAAAUGUUCAUCCUAGCUUAAACUUGGAGUCAUAUGGCCCUCAGGAUUUCUCUCAGUCCAAUGUGGGCGGCUUCGUAACACACAUUGUAUCUUCCCAACCACAAACAGAUAGUCAGUCCAUUGCUCAAUCAAAUGAUGGCGAAAAUUUUUGUCAGCAUGGGUAUCAAAGCCAAAAUGCUAGCCAAGGCAUUUAUCCAAAAGAGAAUCAGAAUCUAAAUGCCAGCCAAAAUAUCUGGCAGCAUGGGAAUCAAAGUCUAGUUGCCACAGAUGCGGGUUUUUCAGAUUUUAGUUUUAGUUGGCCUAUCAAUUCUUGUCAAAGCAAUCAACAUCUUAUAAAUGAAGAUUCUCAAGUCCAUGGCCGAGGAUCUGUGUGUGAGCCAUAUCCUGCUGAGGAGUCUAAUUCCCAGUUUAUGGAAAGCACUUGCCGUAGUCGAAGCACUCAACGACCUGAGCAUUUUGGAAGUGCAAAUCUCAGUCAAAACAAUCGAGAACCUCCAGUUGAAAGUUCUCAACUUGAAAGUACAGGGUCUCUAUGUGAGCCAUCUACUGUAAAGGAGGCUAAUUGCCAAUUUUCUGGAAACCUUAAUUCCAAUAUGGUGGACUUUUCAUUUGAUGACUGGUUCAUGGAAAACCAGCCAAUUCCGGUGGUGUCAGGUGGUUCUGUGCCAUCCGAACUGAAUCUCUAUUCUCCUGAGAAUUCCUCUAUCGACGCCGGUAGAAAUCGGAUUACUACAACAGUAUCCAGCAAUCUCUGUGUACUAAAUGGCCAGAACAUCUGGAGCAUCAAAUGUGGAUGGCAAUUUUCUGCUUUUAUGUGUAAAGGCAUGCCGUUCACCAGAAACGAGAUUGAAUGCUUGCAAAUGUGUGUAACUGCGUGGUGCAUAUCUUCUUCUUCUUCUUUGUUUUUUUUUUUUUUUUUUUUUGGGUAGUCAGAUUUUGAUUGGUGCAAGUCGAUGUUAACAAAUUGCUGGCAAUGUGGCUACUGGAGAUGAAGGCUAGGGAGCACGUCUGGGAAAUUUCCUUGCAGCCCAGCUUGAGAAAGGGAAGUCAUUCAACGAUGAUUGAACUGAAGCAUCUCCAUUAAAAUUGGCGCAACUUACUAUACAAACUUACCUAACAUCUAUCCCUCAAGUUCCAUUGAUUUCUCUCUCCGAAUUUCAUCACCUCCUUAAUUCUCUUCUGGCAUGGCAUCUUUUAAGUUCAGGAGUUUUGUAAGGCGUAGCUUUUUUAUUUUAUUUUAUUUUUAAAUUCGAUCUUCUUCCCCUCCCUUGAAAACGA